rnacentral:rRNA from 1 species
UACGUAAGGACCGAGCGUUGUCCGGAAUCAUUGGGCGUAAAGGGUACGUAGGCGGUUAGAAAAGUUAGAAGUGAAAGGCUAUAGCUCAACUAUAGUAAGCUUUUAAAACUGCUCAUCUUGAGGUACGGAAGGGAAAGGGGAAUUCCUAGUGUAGCGGUGAAAUGCGCAGAUAUUAGGAGGAAUACCGGUGGCGAAGGCGGCCCCUUGGACAAAGACUGACGCUCAGGUGCGAAAGCGUGGGGAGCAAACAGG